GAUGAACGCUGGCGGCGUGCCUAAUACAUGCAAGUCGAGCGAACAGACGAGGAGCUUGCCCCUCUGACGUUAGCGGCGGACGGGUGAGUAACACGUGGAUAACCUACCUAUAAGACUGGGAUAACUUCGGGAAACCGGAGCUAAUACCGGAUAAUAUAUUGAACCGCAUGGUUCAAUAGUGAAAGACGGUUUUGCUGUCACUUAUAGAUGUAUCCGCGCCGCAUUAGCUAGUUGGUAAGGUAACGGCUUACCAAGGCAACGAUGCGUAGCCGACCUGAGAGGGUGAUCGGCCACACUGGAACUGAGACACGGUCCAGACUCCUACGGGAGGCAGCAGUAGGGAAUCUUCCGCAAUGGGCGAAAGCUUGACGGAGCAACGCCGCGUGAGUGAUGAAGGUCUUCGGAUCGUAAAACUCUGUUAUUAGGGAAGAACAAAUGUGUAAGUAACUAUGCACGUCUUGACGGUACCUAAUCAGAAAGCCACGGCUAACUACGUG
rnacentral:rRNA from 1 species